AGUCCUUCAGGGGCUCACUCUAGCCCAAAGAAUAAAUCCAAGCAUCUGGGAGCCACCACAGUCCACCUCAACCUAAGUGUUAAGCGCCCUUUCCUUCCAUGCUUUCCCCAUCCCCGGUGUACACUCUGUACCCCACCGAGGCCCUCCUCACUUCCUAGACAGGGCAUUCAUUUCCUCCUGCAUGGCUUUGCUCACCUGGCCCUCUCGCUGGCAUUCCCACCCCCACUCACCCACUCGCUAAAUCCUGAUCAUCCCUGUAAAAAAUGUUUCCCCCUUGCUAAGGUUUAUCAGCCUUGGCGCUCUUGGCCUUUUGUCGGAUAAUUCUUUGUGGGGGCAGGUGGGGAGCUGUCCUGGGCAAGGUGACAUGUUUAGCGGCAUCCCUGGCUUCUACUCUCUAGAUGCCAGUCGCAACCCUCACCCCCCAACCCACCAUUUGACAAUUAAGAAUGUUUCCAGACGUUGUCAAAUGUUGCCUGGACUUCAAAACCGCCCCUGGUUGAGAACCACUGCCUUGUAGAGCUUUCUCUGGUGACCACCAACGAGAACUCUAUUCCACAGAGCUUUGCCCUCUGUUAAAAUCCUUGCAGCUAAAGAAACAACAAGAGCAGCGACUACAAUAACAAUCAGCACCAUCUCUGCUUUGAUUCUGUGACUGCUUAUAUGUCUGUUCCCUUCGGUGGGUCUGUGAGCUCUUUGAAAGCUGAGUGUCUUCCCGGUACCUCUAGGACCCGCACGUGCCCUGGUACAGGGGGUAAGCAGGACAAAUUCGCUGCCCUGAGGCGGUGAGACAGCUGCCAGCGUCUGUCCUCUCGCCAGCCAUUUGAUGACCACAUCACCUGCGAGACUGAGAAGCUCAUGAUUCUAAGGCUGUUUUGCAAGGUUCCGUUCAUACCUGGCAAGUGAUAAGAAGCAAAAAGAACAAUGGAUCCUGGAAGGUCUCAUUUGCCCAGAUCACGUGAGGGUACUGGAGGGUAGGAGCCCAGCUGGCGUUCCCCGCGUCUCCACAGCACCUGCUGGGGAAAUUACCAAGGACAAGGAAAGGAUCACUCAAAAGGAGCAAACAGUCCACAGUCCCAACUACUGAGAAUUGUUCCUGUUCCUACCGGUCAAGCUACAGCCACCUAAUUCAUGAGACAUGGUAUAAAGGACUUAGAAGGGCACUGACGCAGUAGUGGGGCGUGAUCAGCCGUACAGAAAAGGCUCAGCUGGUUCCACCUAACAAAGCUUAAAAAUUAAUCCUCAAAGGACAGAAUUGUUUUCAAGUUUCCUAUCUGUACUUCAAAACAAACCUCAAAAAUACUCAUAGAGAUACAAAAAUAUCCGGCACCCGAAAAGUAAAUUUCACAAUGCCUGGCCUAUAUCUCACUCACAUAUAUGUAUAUAUCUCACUGGUCAGGCCAGAAACAGGAAAUUACGGGUCGAAACGAAGAGAAAAAUCAAUCUAUAGAAACAGUGCCGGAAAUAGCACAGAUGAGAGAAUUAGAAUAAAACCA